AACCAUGACGGACGCGUGAAAGAAAUGUCAAAACUUAAAUCCAUCGUGUCCCUUAAAUAUCGAUGACGAAUCUAGAACAUACGCAUAUGACCCACUCUUGUUAAUAUUUGAAUUGACCAAGAUUUCUCUGUCCAUCAAGUGGAGCAUCAAUUUGAUUACUUUUUCAUCAUGUUGAUCCACAAAUAACUUGAAGUUUUAUCUUCUUGAUUAAUGUCCAAAAAUGAAAUUGAACAAAUUAAUAGGUAGGUUACAAAGUAUAAUGACCUACUACCUUGCUCAAUAAUGAAAGAACACAAACAUUAAUUACUGAUUAAGGGAGUUGAUGGUUCUUCCGUUGGAGUACCACCAAUAUCAAGCUUAUUUGGAAUAACAUCCAACAUAGGCCUAUAAAUUAGGCAACGAGUCCACUUCUUGCACCAAACCAGGAAGACUUCCCUUCAUUCUUCUUUUUCUUCACCAAAAGUAUUAAUAAAUUUUAAUCAAGAUUAUGAUGAUGAUGAUGAUUAUGAUAGCAGGCUUCAUCGACUCUGUGACAACACCAGUCAAGACUUGGUUAGACAUGGUGCUCACCAGUCCGGACCACCACAAAACAACCAGCAUGGUGCUGGAGGAGGUGGGUGCUGGUAGCUCUCGAGUUGAUUGUAUUGUGUGUCUGUCAGAGGUGGCUUUGGGAGAAAGGUUGGCAAUGUUAGAAAGGUGUAGACAUGGGUUUCAUGUUGAGUGUGUGGAAGCAUGGCUGAAAGACCAUCCAAACUGCCCACUGUGUAGAACCCCUAUUUCGGGUGCAAAUGAAGAUACCCACAAGCACAAGGUUUACUUAAAGAAGUUGUAUGAGAUGAUGAACUAUUAUGGCUUCCGUGCUCUUGAGACCAUGGCCAGUUGGCUAACCAAUUCAUUUAGCAAGGGUCUCCACUCCAGUCUUUCCCAGAGCUGCAGUUACUUGUGAGUUGUGAUCACUCCUACCAACAUCAACCGCUUAUGCAUAUACUCUUAAACAUACUUUUUUCCCCUCUUUUUUUUUGCUAUAGAAUUUAUAGUAAUUAAACAUUCAAGUAUAAGACAUUUAUGCAAGUUAUUUCAUACGGACACCCAUGUAAACGAAAUUCUGGUUAAAUAUAUUGUUUUAUUUCUUA